UUCUUUCUAACUUUAAUAGUACAAAUCUGUCUGAUUUUGUUUCUGUUGUUUUCUUCUGUCUUUGGUAUUGUCAUCUUGGGUUGUGUUCACUCUCAGCUCAGUGUUCAGGCCAUGUAGUCGUUCAAUAGUAAGCUCAUCUAUUAUUUCUUUUGUUACCUGGUAUUCUCUGGAGUCAGAGAGUUUUAAACAUUCAAGCAAGACAGAGGUGUUUUUCUGCAUUGCAAGUUUAUAUGUGAUCAAGUUCUGCACAGCACAAUUAUUAACAGCACAGGUUAUCAAUGAUGUAACUCAACCAUCAUCAUUAUUCAAACCACCUGACCCACAGUCGGGUCGUUAUAUAUACAUGUGUGUUGAUGUAUACAUCGGGAUCUUCACAUCCCUCCAGGUGAUCCCAGAAUAAAGACUUUAAACCCCAGCUGAAGUCUUCUGUGCUAUAUAGAACCUUCG